rnacentral:rRNA from 1 species
CCUACGGGCGGCAGCAGUGGGGAAUAUUGGACAAUGGGGGGAACCCUGAUCCAGCGACGCCGCGUGAGUGAAGAAGUAUCUCGGUAUGUAAAGCUCUAUCAGCAGGGAAGAAAGAAAUGACGGUACCUGACUAAGAAGCCCCGGCUAACUACGUGCCAGCAGCCGCGGUAAUACGUAGGGGGCAAGCGUUAUCCGGAUUUACUGGGUGUAAAGGGAGCGUUGACGGCUGAGCAAGUCGGAAGGGAAAGGCGGGGGCCCAACCCCCGGACUGCUUUGGAAACUGUAUAGCUAGAGUGAAGGAGAGGUAAGUGGAAUUCCUAGGGUAGCGGUGAAAGGCGUAGAUAUUAGGAGGAACACCAGUGGCGAAGGCGG